rnacentral:rRNA from 1 species
AGCAGCCGCGGUAAUUCCAGCCCCAAUAGCGUAUAUUAAAGUUGUUGCAGUUAGAAAGCUCGUAGUUGAAUUUCGGAAUCUGUUCAUCGGUCGGGCUUCACUGUCCGUACUGGUGUGGUGGAUUCCUACCUUCUGAAUAACCAGCAUGCCAUUAACUUGGUACGCUGGGGAAGCAGGACCAUUACCUUGAAAAAUUAGAGUGCUCAAAGCAGGCCAGUGCCUGAACACAUUAGCAUGGAAUAAUAAAUAGGACGGCAUGGUUCUAUUUUGUCGGUUUCCAGGAUCACCAUAAUGAUUAAUAGGGAUAGUUGGGGGCAUUAGUAUUCAAUUGUCAGAGGUGAAAUUCCUGGAUUUAUCGAAGACUAAAGCAUUUGCCAAGGAUGUUUUCAUUAAUCAAGAACGAAAGUUAAGGGGAUCGAAG